AGUCACCCCCAUCGUACCCUUCCCCUCUUUUUCUUUUUGGCAAAAAAAGUUUAAUUCCUCUUUCAGCCAUGGACAGAUCUGUCUACACCAUUUUCAUAUAAGUUGAUAUGUUUCUUAUUCCCUCUCUCCUAUUUCGAGCAAAGGGUACAAACUGGCAAAUAAUUAUCAAACCAAAUCUUCACUUGUUCAAGAAUUGUCAAGGCCGAAUCUCUGCAAAUCUGAAUCAAUAAGGAAAUUCGGUCAAUAUUUCUUCAGAAAAUCUGAACCAGAAAGCUACAUUUUUUAUUCCAAAGCCAACCCAUGACAUCUCUUCCUGUUUCCUUUUGAAAUUCAAAUGGCUAAACUUUCCCUUCAAAUCCCACUCAGAAACUGUAGCUAUAACUUGGGGAUGCACCUAUAAAUACCUCUCGAAAGUUUCAGCCGAGAUCGAUCUUGGAAUCCCUCUAAAAAAUAAAGUUUUAGUAUCUAAAAGAAUCUCCAAGCUAAGUUGUUCAUUUGAUAUGACUAUCAUAUCUGGAAGACCUUAGUGUUGUUUAAUCUUUCAAUGUCAGUUCAAUUCGAUUUAGUUAAAAGAGGAAUAGAUCUGAAGCAUCGCAAGCCCCAAGUUCACUGCCCCAUAAAAGGUAAAAUCCGACUUUUUGAUCAUGUUCUUCACUUAAAGGAAUUGUAUUUGCUUAAAAAAAGCAUGUCUUAAGUUUAUGUUUUAUCUGUUAUAGUGGAAUGCGCAUAGAAUAUUUUCUGAUACUGAGGUGAUGUGAAAAAUCCACACUUUAAGUCACGUUUGUAUCCAAAUUGGCUGUGUUAAAACUUUACUCACUAAACCAUGCUAUUUGCUAUUGUAUUCUCGAAUGUUUGAAGAAGUGAUGGUGUUCUAUACAAUAAAAAUAAUGUUCUUUAGAAUUUUAUGUCUGACAAACAUCCUACAUCAAAAUACUUUUGGAUUUUAUUCUUGACUAAUUUUUAUUUCUUUAUUUUUGAGUUUAAACAUUGUAGUAGAAAAGCAUAGUAUAACGAUUCGACCGGUCGUUUUAAACUUUUGCACUUUUAUCGUCAGUUCUCGGGCAUGAUUUGAUAUGUGGUGUAUUAUAACUUAUGUAAAUCGUUGGUUUUGGUUUCAUGUUAAUCAAAAUAAAUUUGAAGGAACAGUUUCAGCUGAAAGCUUGGAAUUUGGAAGGUUUGACCAAUAGUUAACUAAGCAUAUGAGCCCGAAUCGAAAUUUUUAUGAUAUGGUUAGCUUCGUAAGGUGAUUUAUGACUUAGGAUUAUGAUCGGAAUUAAUUUUGGAGGUCCGGUGUGAAAUUUGGCUUGAAUUGAUGAAGUUAGUAUUUUGGCGAAUUUCGGUUGGUAUGUGAGAUUUUGAUCCGAGAGUCGGAAUAGAAUUCCGAGAGUUUCAAUAGCUUAGUUAUGUCAUUUGGGAUGUGUGUGCAAUAUUUCAGAUCAUUCGGACGUUGUUUGGUAGAGUUUUAGAAGAACUUAGGCUUGAUUUGAUGUAAUUUGUUUGGUUUGGUGUUGUUUGAGGUGUUUUGAUGAUUGGAACAAGUUUAAAUGAUGUUUUAGGGUGUGUUGGUACUUUUGGUUGAGGUCCUGGGGAUCUCUGGGUGAUUUCGGGUGGCUAAACGGGAGGAUUUGGACUUUGAGUUAUUGCAAAAAUUGCAGCAGUUGUGUAGGGGUAUUUUGGUCAUCGCGAGCUUGGGGCCGCAAUCACAUAGAAGGAUUUUGGCAGGCUGGAGUUUUGUUCUACGUGUUCGCGAUAAGGGGUCUGUGAUCGCGGAAGGUGAAUUCUUGGUACUUUGCUUUCGCAGUAAGAAGUUCGCGAUCGCGUAAGAGGACCUAGGACCCAUCAUACUUGUCCAUUGCGUUCGCCGCAUUCGCGUAGAUUGAAAAGUCAAGGCAUCACGUUCGCAUCAGAAAGGUCGCGUUUGCAUAGCACAUUUUUGGAGGCUUGGGAAAUUGCUAUUCGAAAUCGCGUGCCUGGGGCCGCGAUUGCAUUGAAUAAAAAUUAGAGUUGGGCAGAAUAGUUUUUAAACAUUUCCUCCACGAGCUUAGUCAUAUUUUCCUCCAUUAUUAGGCAUUUUGAGAGCUGUUUGGGAAAAUUGAAGAGGGUUUCAAAGAAGAUUGAUUGGAGGUAAGUUCUAUAAACCAAAAACUGUUGGAAACACGUUCUCAAGGCAUUAUACUAAACGUGUGUUCAUAUUUGUAGGUUUUGAUGAAUGACAAACUAUGCACAAAUUGACACAUNNN
rnacentral:lncRNA from 1 species